UUAGCCUUGGGGUGGAGCACUGUUUAAACAAUGGGAGUGGUAUCAUUUUACUGAGUUUUAGCAAACUCCGAAUACGAGAGCAAUUCAGAAGCAGACAGACUUUGGGUGCGAAGAUCCAUUGUCGAAAGGGAAACAGCCCAGAUUAUUGAUUAAGGUCCAUAAAAAAAGUUAAGUGUUUAAGGUAGUCUUUGCUUUUUGACAGCCAGAAGAUAGGCUUGGAAGCAGCCAUUCUUUAAAGAAAGCGUAACAGCUCACUGGCCUA
rnacentral:rRNA from 1 species